rnacentral:lncRNA from 1 species
GAAUGUUCACAAAUGAGUGUGAACUUCUCAAGAGAGGAUGCUUCAAAUCAGAGUCCUCUUUCCUUUCUUCGCUGGACAUUUUUAUCUUCCAUGUCAUAAACAGGGGAAGAGAUGGAGAUAUGAAUCACUCCCCUCAACAGGACCUCCAGCUCUGCUGUGGUUUCUGAGGACAUUUGAUAGCUUGAAAAGAAAAAGAAGUCCUCGAGCCGAGUGGUCAGAUCCCAUGAUCAUGUCCCUCUGUGUGUUGCAGUCCCGUGCUGUUGUGCAUGCUCUCCGCCAGUGACCCCAAGCUUUUUAUGGCUGUGAGACACGUUCGAAGUUCACGGUGUUCACCACUGCCUGCCUUCUUUCUCAUCCUUCGGUCCACUCAUCCCUUUGCUAUCUAUCACUGAGGGCCCGCGUGCAAGAUUUCAUUUCACCGCAGUUAACAUGCUCCAAGUUGGCAGAGAGAUGAGUUUUGCUGCUGUUCUGGAGAAGCUAGGAGAUCUGUUGGUCAGAGUCUGUGUAGUUGGGGAGAGGAUUGCUG